CUACGGGACGCUCCAGUGAGGAAUAUUGCACAAUGGGGGGAACCCUGAUGCAGCAACGCCGCGUGGAGGAUGACGCAUUUCGGUGUGUAAACUCCUUUUAUAUGUCAAGAAAAUGACGGUAGCAUAUGAAUAAGCACCGGCUAACUCCGUGCCAGCAGCCGCGGUAAUACGGAGGGUGCAAGCGUUACUCGGAAUCACUGGGCGUAAAGGACGCGUAGGCGGGUUGGAAAGUCAGGUGUGAAAUCCUACAGCUUAACUGUAGAACUGCACUUGAAACUUCUAAUCUAGAGUAUGGGAGGGGGAGAUGGAAUUAGUGGUGUAGGGGUAAAAUCCGUAGAUAUCACUAGGAAUACCUAAAGCGAAGGCGAUCUCCUGGAACAUUACUGACGCUAAGGCGUGAAAGCGUGGGGAGCAAACAGGAUUGAUACCCGCGUAGUC
rnacentral:rRNA from 1 species